GACGAACGCUGGCGGCGUGCUUAACACAUGCAAGUCGAACGGGCCCGCCCCUGUUUUUGGGGGUGGGUUGAGUGGCGAACGGGUGAGUAUCACGUGAGUAACCUGCCCCCUGCUCCUGGAUAACUGCUUGAAAGGGCGGCUAAUACGGGGUGUGCCGGCUGGUCCGCAUGGGCCUGGUCGGGAUAGUUUCAUCUUCGGGUGUUUCGGUGGGGGAUGGGCUCGCGGCCUAUCAGCUUGUUGGUGGGGUGAUGGCCCACCAAGGCGGUGACGGGUAGCCGGCCUGAGAGGGUGGGCGGCCACACUGGGACUGAGACACGGCCCAGACUCCUGCGGGAGGCAGCAGUGGGGGGUAUUGCACAAUGGGCGGAAGCCUGAUGCAGCGACGUCGCGUGAGGGAUGGAGGCCUUCGGGUUGUGAACCUCUUUCUCCGGUGGGGAAGGCCCUGUCCGUUGCGGCGGGGUUGACGGUAGCCGGGUAUGAAGCGCCGGCUAACUACGUG
rnacentral:rRNA from 1 species